UACGAACUGUGCGAACGUUAUUCGGAAUCACUGGGCUUACAGGGUGCGUAGGCGGCUAUUCAGGUCAGGUGUGAAAGCCCCCGGCUCAACCGGGGAACUGCGCUUGAAACCGAGCGGCUCGAGUCAGCUAGAGGUACACGGAACUUCCAGUGGAGCGGUGAAAUGUGUUGAUAUUGGAAGGAACACCGGAGGCGAAAGCGGUGUACUGGGGCUGGUCUGACGCUGAGGCACGAAAGCCAGGGGAGCGAACGGG
rnacentral:rRNA from 1 species